rnacentral:rRNA from 1 species
AGCGAACGCUGGCGGCAGGCUUAACACAUGCAAGUCGAACGCAUCACUUCGGUGGUGAGUGGCAGACGGGUGAGUAACACGUGGGAACGUACCCUUCGAUCUGGGAUAACUUCGGGAAACUGGAGCUAAUACCGGAUACGCCCUUUUGGGGAAAGGUUUACUGUCGAAGGAUCGGCCCGCGUCUGAUUGGCUAGUUGGUGGGGUAACGGCCUACCAAGGCGACGAUCAGGAGCUGGUCUGAGAGGAUGAUCAGCCACACUGGGACUGAGACACGGCCCAGACUCCUACGCGAGGGAGCAGUGGGGAAUAUUAGACAAUGGGCGCAAGCCUGGUCCAGCCAUGCCGCGUGAGUGAUGAAGGCCUUAGGGUUGUAAAGCUCUUUUGUCCGGGACGAUAAUGACGGUACCGGAAGAAUAAGCCCCGGCUAACUUCGUG